rnacentral:misc_RNA from 1 species
UCGUUCGCUUGUAGCCUGUUGAAACGACUGGUCGUUAAGCUCAUAGCUUGUUGAAACGACUGGUCGUUCAGAAACAAAUUGUCGUUAUCUGUGUGUUAAACCCUAGAUCACGCAGAUGCUGGCAGAUCACACCGCAACAUCCAUGGACUGUGAGGGGAAGAUAAGCAUAUACAGAGCAGUGAGAACCAUAAAACGAAGAGACAACACUCUCUACAACGCUUUGAGAUCCAUAUACGAAGAUUCGAUUUUUGUUGGCGAGAUCUCCCAGCUAUGGCCCGACCUUCCCCUUCUCGCCAACCUCCGCUGCGGCCUCUGGUACUCUUCCAAAUUCUACGCUACUUGCUACUUCAAAUCCACCGAUGGCCACACCAAUAAUUGGUCAUUUAACACCUCUCGCCUCAACCUUCAUGUUGCCCAGCUUGCUGGGCAGAAACGAGGGUGUAUCAUUGUUGACUCUACUCGGAAAGGGAAACGGUUUCCAGAUAGCAUGUCAAAAACAAUACCCAUUUGGACUUGUGUUUUGAAUCGCUCCAUUUUUAACCAUAUCAGCAAAAUGCGAGAUUGUGGGACGAUAAUGCAGGAGGAGGCUGAUUCCUCUAAGCAUGCUGAAUAUACAAGAAUGCUUUCUCAUAAUUGGGAUUGUUCUCUGCAUCUUCCCCUUUGGGUCCCCGAAACAGAGAAAGCAGCUAUUGAGGAACGUAUAGACGGGUGGAGUAAACAGUUGGAAGACAGUGGAGCUGAUAUUGCCUCAGUCGCAUCAUGCUUGAAAAAGCCUCUACGACCUCUUUGGAUAUCACAAAAGACUGUCAUCUGGUUGAAUGAAGUACCUGAUCAUGAUUCCUGGGAUUUCACUCCUAUUAUCCUUGUUUCAACCUCCUCUUCAAGCAGCAUUUAUCAACAUCGGACUACCUCUGAGUUUAGCUGGAGCUAUAUAGCAGGAGCUGGAGAUGAUGAAGAAAGUUGGGCAAGGGGGCUCUCACCCAGUCUUUUCUGGAAACAUGCAUUUGAUUUAAUAAGUUCAGGGCCUGAUCUGUGUAACCAGAAGGUGGCUGAUAUUGUUGAAAAGGACAGAGUAUAUCGUGCUCAAAGGGGACAAAAUGCUCCUCAGGUGACUUUGAAGCCUCUAGAAAGGUUAGACAACAUGGCUGAUUUUUCUCAAGUAGACUCCUCAUCAUCUUUGGAUCUAUUUAAUGGGAAUAUUACUCUAAUGUCUUGCAACAAAGAUCAUACGAUGUUUUGGCUAGGCUCGACUAAUCUUGCAUUGGGCACAACUCAACUUGGUAUGCUAAUUUAUUAGCUGAUUUUAUUAUCGUAUACUUGCAUAUAGUAAAUACUUAUUUUGAUGGUUUCCUCUUUGUUCAACAAUUAGGUUAAUAUGCUUUCUUUUAUUCUUUAAACUGGGAAAAUCUCGAAUGGUUAUAUAUAUGUUUUCUUUUCUUUUUCUUCUCUCUAUCUCUUUUUGAAUUUUAAAUUCCUUGUGUGUUGGUUAUUCUUUUUUAUUUCUCCUCACUAUCUAGUCAAAAUGGGCAGCAUUAUCUUUACAGUCUCCCUUCUGUUUGCUUACCUUCUGAUUGCUCCUGGCUUCCUCCCUCUCUGUCUCUUCAUUUUGCAGCUGCACACAUUUCUGAUGUUGAUUGCAUCUUGAACUGCGAUCAAGAAUCCUUCCACACCCAUAUACAAGAUAGUAAAACAUAUUUGCAGCUUCCGAUGUUGGUGCGUAUGAAAGAGAUAGAGGGAUGCCAAAUAUUAUCGUUUCAUCAAUGCAACAAUUUCUUGAAUUUUGUUUUUUCCUUUUUUUGCUGUUCAGAGCUCAAAACUGGAUCGUUUUUCCAUAUUAAGCAAUCUCCCUGCUGCAGUCAGCUUUGCAAAGGCAAAUCUUGGCAAAGGGAAUAGACUUCUAGUUUGUUGCCACAAUGGUGAGGACCUCUAAAUUCUGCAUUGCCUUUUGGAUUCACAUUGUUGGAUAGGCUUAGAUUUAUGGAGUUGAGUAAAUGAUGCUUCAAUAGACUUAAUCAUUCCAUGUUAAAUUGAGCAUUAUUUGAUUUUAUGUUGCAGUAUUUCAAAUGAGUACCAUUUCAUUUAGUAAAGGAUCACUUUCUGAUUUUUAGAUUUCACAUUGCAGCCUGGCAUGCACUUUUUCCUCUAGUUAUUGUUUUUGCUGUCUGCAAUAGAAAAUUGACUACUUUAUCAGUGUAUUUUAAUAUUAGUGCUUUUAAUUUCUGGAAAAUUGAAAUUCUUCUUUUGCAUGGGAUAAUUAGGCAUCUUUAGAUGACUGCUAAUGUAUUUUAUUAUUUUCUCUUUCCAGGGGAAGAUAUCAGCGUGUGUGUUUGUCUUGCAAUUUUGACUUCAUUAUUCAGUGAUGCAGGUGAGAUGCUUGUAUGUUCCAUAAAGGUGAAAUCAUUUCUGAUGCCUGAGAGUUGGAGGAAAAUCAAAUACCAGAAAAUUUUCUUUCACUUUUUCCUUUGCUUCUACUUUUGGUGUAAGAUCCAUACUGGCUUGUCCAGUUUAUAUUGUUUGAUGGAUUUUUCAAUUAUUUAUCUAAUCAUCUUUGAAAAAUCUUGCAGUUCAGUGUAGGAAACUUAAGACUGAGUUGUAGUUGAGACACUGCUGUCAAUUUCACUGAUUUUCUGUUUUCUUGAGUAUAUGUUAAACUUCUCAUCUUUUGAUUAGGAACCUUUGAUGAUGGAGAAUCCUACAGAAAUACACGAAUUACUAAGUGGGAGAUGAGGCGGAGACUUGUUUUCAUCUGUAAAUUUGCAGUGAGUGCUCGUCCAUCUAGAGGAAAUUUGAAACAGGUCUUUGCAUUUCUCACUGGACAAAGAUCGCCCUCUUCAUGUUCACAUUGUAGGAAUGCUAACCAGGAAGAAUGUUGCUAAAUGGAAACAAAAUGGGAAGUGUGGCAGUCUCUUGUUUUAACCAGUGAAUCUGCAGUAAAAGCUGAAUCAUCACUUCCCUUCUGGAGAAAGAUCAGACUCUUUACUUUCGCAUUGUAGGGAUGUAAAGGAAGAAUGUUGCUGAGUGGGAGGUGCAGUGGCAUCUUGUUUUAUCUGUAAAUUUACAGAAAGCUCAAUUAUCCAGAGGAAAUUUGAAACUGAUCUGACUUCCCUUUCAUGGCAACUAUUGAAAUGUUAUUAUUCAAGAUAAAGAGAGAAACAAAAGUUCACAUUCAGUUCUACCUCAAAAUUGCAAGCUUUAGCUGGCAAGAAAUUGUACUAGUUUCCUUAACCAUUUUGAGCCUUACAUCUACUAUGCACAUUUUGUGCUCUAUUUUCUCAAUACAA